UAAGGCCUCAACCAAAGGGC
rnacentral:misc_RNA from 1 species